GACGAACGCUGGCGGCAUGCUUAACACAUGCAAGUGGUGCGACGAACCUUUUAGGGGCAAAGCCGCGAACGGGUGAGUAACACGUGGGCAAUCUGCCCAGUAGACCGGAAUAACUCAAGGAAACCUGAGCUAAUACCGGAUGUGCCGUACUUCCAUCAGGAGGUCCGGUAAAGAGAGCUUCGGCUAUUCGCUAUUGGAGGAGCCUGCGGAGUAUUAGGUAGUUGGUGGGGUAAAGGCCUACCAAGCCGACGAUACUUAGCUGGUCUGAGAGGACGAUCAGCCACACUGGAACUGAGACACGGUCCAGACUCCUACGGGAGGCAGCAGUGGGGAAUCUUGCACAAUGGGCGACAGCCUGAUGCAGCAAUGCCGCGUGAGGGAAGACGGCCUUCGGGUUGUAAACCUCUUUCAGUUGGGAAGAAGGGUGGACGGUUAAUAGCCGGCUCACUUGACGGUACCUUCAGAAGAAGCUCCGGCUAACUACGUGCCAGCAGCCGCGGUAAUACGUAGGGAGCAAGCGUUGUCCGGAAUCAUUGGGCGUAAAGCGCGUGUAGGCGGUUACAUAAGUCUGUUGUGAAAGUCGGAGGCUCAACCUUCGAAAGCCGAUGGAUACUGUGUGACUUGAGUACGGAAGAGGAGAGUGGAAUUCCUGGUGUAGCGGUGAAAUGCGCAGAUAUCAGGAGGAACACCAACGGCGAAGGCAGCUCUCUGGGACGUUACUGACGCUGAGACGCGAAAGCGUGGGGAGCAAACAGGAUUAGAUACCCUGGUAGUCCACGCCGUAAACGAUGGUCACUAGAUGUGGGGGGGUGUCGACUCCCUCCGUGUCGUAGCUAACGCGUUAAGUGACCCGCCUGGGGAGUACGGCCGCAAGGCUAAAACUCAAAGGAAUUGACGGGGACCCGCACAAGCAGCGGAGCAUGUGGAUUAAUUCGACGCAACGCGAAGAACCUUACCUGGGCUUGACAUACUGCUGACCUCCAUGGAAACAUGGACUUCCUUCGGGACAGCAAUACAGGUGGUGCAUGGCUGUCGUCAGCUCGUGUCGUGAGAUGUUGGGUUGAGUCCCGCAACGAGCGCAACCCCCGUCCUAUGUUGCCAGCAUUCAGUUGGGGACUCAUAGGAGACUGCCGGUGACAAACCGGAGGAAGGUGGGGAUGACGUCAAGUCAUCAUGCCCCUUAUGUCCAGGGCUUCACACGUGCUACAUUGGCGCAUACAGAGGGCUGCGAUACCGCGAGGUGGAGCGAAUCCCAAAAAGUGCGUCUCGGUUCGGAUUGAAGGCUGAAACUCGCCUUCAUGAAGGCGGAGUUGCUAGUAAUCCCAGAUCAGCAAUGCUGGGGUGAAUACGUUCCCGGGUCUUGUACACACCGCCCGUCACACCACGAAAGCAAGCAACACCCGAAGUCGGUGAGCUAACUCGCAAGAGAGGCAGCCGCCGAAGGUGGGGCUCGUGAUUGGGGUG
rnacentral:rRNA from 1 species